AUUGAACGCUGGCGGAAUGCUUUACACAUGCAAGUCGAGCGGCAGCACGGGGGCAACCCUGGUGGCGAGCGGCGAACGGGUGAGUAAUACAUCGGAACAUGCCCAGUCGUGGGGGGAUAACACUUCGAAAGAAGUGCUAAUACCGCAUACGUCCUGAGGGAGAAAGCGGGGGAUCGCAAGACCUCGCGCGAUUGGAGUGGCCGAUGUCAGAUUAGCUAGUUGGUGGGGUAAAGGCCUACCAAGGCAACGAUCUGUAGCUGGUCUGAGAGGAUGAUCAGCCACACUGGGACUGAGACACGGCCCAGACUCCUACGGGAGGCAGCAGUGGGGAAUUUUGGACAAUGGGGGCAACCCUGAUCCAGCCAUUCCGCGUGAGUGAAGAAGGCC
rnacentral:rRNA from 1 species